rnacentral:rRNA from 1 species
UACGUAGGGUGCGAGCGUUGUCCGGAAUUACUGGGCGUAAAGAGUUCGUAGGCGGUUUGUCGCGUCGUUUGCGAAAACCCGGGGCUCAACUUCGGGCUUGCAGGCGAUACGGGCAGACUUGAGUGUUUCAGGGGAGACUGGAAUUCCUGGUGUAGCGGUGAAAUGCGCAGAUAUCGGGAAGAACACCCGUGGCGAAGGCGGGUCUCUGGGCAGUAACUGACGCUGAGGAGCGAAAGCGUGGGGAGCGAACAGG